UACGGAGGGUGCGAGCGUUGUCCGGAAUUAUUGGGCGUAAAGAGCUUGUAGGCGGUUUGUCGCGUCUGCUGUGAAAUUUCGGGGCUCAACCCCGAACUUGCAGUGGGUACGGGCAAACUAGAGUGUGGUAGGGGAGACUGGAAUUCCUGGUGUAGCGGUGAAAUGCGCAGAUAUCAGGAGGAACACCGAUGGCGAAGGCAGGUCUCUGGGCCAUAACUGACGCUGAGAAGCGAAAGCAUGGGGAGCGAACAGG
rnacentral:rRNA from 1 species